rnacentral:rRNA from 2 species
CUUGAGAGGUUAAGGCUCCCAGUAGACGACUGGGUUGAUAGGCCAGAUAUGGAAGCCGGGCAACCGGUGGAGUUGACUGGUACUAAUAGGCCGAGGGCUUGUCCUCAGUUG